rnacentral:rRNA from 1 species
GCCAGACUCCUACGGGAGGCAGCAGUGGGGAAUAUUGGGCAAUGGGCGCAAGCCUGACCCAGCAACGCCGCGUGAGUGAAGAAGUAUUUCGGUAUGUAAAGCUCUAUCAGCAGGGAAGAAGAUGACGGUACCUGAUUAAGAAGCCCCGGCUAACUACGUGCCAGCAGCCGCGGUAAUACGUAGGGGGCAAGCGUUAUCCGGAUUUACUGGGUGUAAAGGGAGCGCAGACGGCAGUGCAAGUCUGGAGUGAAAGCCCGGGGCCCAACCCCGGAACUGCUCUGGAAACUGUGCGGCUAGAGUACUGGAGGGGCAGGCGGAAUUCCUAGUGUAGCGGUGAAAUGCGUAGAUAUUAGGAGGAACACCAGUGGCGAAGGCGGCCUGCUGGACAGUAACUGACGUUGAGGCUCGAAAGCGUGGGGAGCAAACAGGAUUAGAUACCCUAGUAA